GGGUUGUGAGGUUAAGCGACUAAGCGUACACGGUGGAUGCCCUGGCAGUCAGAGGCGAUGAAGGACGUGCUAAUCUGCGAUAAGCGUCGGUAAGGUGAUAUGAACCGUUAUAACCGGCGAUUUCCGAAUGGGGAAACCCAGUGUGUUUCGACACACUAUCAUUAACUGAAUCCAUAGGUUAAUGAGGCGAACCGGGGGAACUGAAACAUCUAAGUACCCCGAGGAAAAGAAAUCAACCGAGAUUCCCCCAGUAGCGGCGAGCGAACGGGGAGGAGCCCAGAGCCUGAAUCAGUGUGUGUGUUAGUGGAAGCGUCUGGAAAGGCGCGCAAUACAGGGUGACAGCCCCGUACACAAAAAUGCACAUACUGUGAGCUCGAUGAGUAGGGCGGGACACGUGGUAUCCUGUCUGAAUAUGGGGGGACCAUCCUCCAAGGCUAAAUACUCCUGACUGACCGAUAGUGAACCAGUACCGUGAGGGAAAGGCGAAAAGAACCCCGGCGAGGGGAGUGAAAAAGAACCUGAAACCGUGUACGUACAAGCAGUGGGAGCCUCUUUUAUGGGGUGACUGCGUACCUUUUGUAUAAUGGGUCAGCGACUUAUAUUCUGUAGCAAGGUUAACCGAAUAGGGGAGCCGAAGGGAAACCGAGUCUUAACUGGGCGUUAAGUUGCAGGGUAUAGACCCGAAACCCGGUGAUCUAGCCAUGGGCAGGUUGAAGGUUGGGUAACACUAACUGGAGGACCGAACCGACUAAUGUUGAAAAAUUAGCGGAUGACUUGUGGCUGGGGGUGAAAGGCCAAUCAAACCGGGAGAUAGCUGGUUCUCCCCGAAAGCUAUUUAGGUAGCGCCUCGUGAAUUCAUCUCCGGGGGUAGAGCACUGUUUCGGCAAGGGGGUCAUCCCGACUUACCAACCCGAUGCAAACUGCGAAUACCGGAGAAUGUUAUCACGGGAGACACACGGCGGGUGCUAACGUCCGUCGUGAAGAGGGAAACAACCCAGACCGCCAGCUAAGGUCCCAAAGUCAUGGUUAAGUGGGAAACGAUGUGGGAAGGCCCAGACAGCCAGGAUGUUGGCUUAGAAGCAGCCAUCAUUUAAAGAAAGCGUAAUAGCUCACUGGUCGAGUCGGCCUGCGCGGAAGAUGUAACGGGGCUAAACCAUGCACCGAAGCUGCGGCAGCGACACUAUGUGUUGUUGGGUAGGGGAGCGUUCUGUAAGCCUGUGAAGGUGUGCUGUGAGGCAUGCUGGAGGUAUCAGAAGUGCGAAUGCUGACAUAAGUAACGAUAAAGCGGGUGAAAAGCCCGCUCGCCGGAAGACCAAGGGUUCCUGUCCAACGUUAAUCGGGGCAGGGUGAGUCGACCCCUAAGGCGAGGCCGAAAGGCGUAGUCGAUGGGAAACAGGUUAAUAUUCCUGUACUUGGUGUUACUGCGAAGGGGGGACGGAGAAGGCUAUGUUGGCCGGGCGACGGUUGUCCCGGUUUAAGCGUGUAGGCUGGUUUUCCAGGCAAAUCCGGAAAAUCAAGGCUGAGGCGUGAUGACGAGGCACUACGGUGCUGAAGCAACAAAUGCCCUGCUUCCAGGAAAAGCCUCUAAGCAUCAGGUAACAUCAAAUCGUACCCCAAACCGACACAGGUGGUCAGGUAGAGAAUACCAAGGCGCUUGAGAGAACUCGGGUGAAGGAACUAGGCAAAAUGGUGCCGUAACUUCGGGAGAAGGCACGCUGAUAUGUAGGUGAAGUCCCUCGCGGAUGGAGCUGAAAUCAGUCGAAGAUACCAGCUGGCUGCAACUGUUUAUUAAAAACACAGCACUGUGCAAACACGAAAGUGGACGUAUACGGUGUGACGCCUGCCCGGUGCCGGAAGGUUAAUUGAUGGGGUCAGCGCAAGCGAAGCUCUUGAUCGAAGCCCCGGUAAACGGCGGCCGUAACUAUAACGGUCCUAAGGUAGCGAAAUUCCUUGUCGGGUAAGUUCCGACCUGCACGAAUGGCGUAAUGAUGGCCAGGCUGUCUCCACCCGAGACUCAGUGAAAUUGAACUCGCUGUGAAGAUGCAGUGUACCCGCGGCAAGACGGAAAGACCCCGUGAACCUUUACUAUAGCUUGACACUGAACAUUGAGCCUUGAUGUGUAGGAUAGGUGGGAGGCUUAGAAGUGUGGACGCCAGUCUGCAUGGAGCCGACCUUGAAAUACCACCCUUUAAUGUUUGAUGUUCUAACGUUGACCCGUGAUCCGGGUUGCGGACAGUGUCUGGUGGGUAGUUUGACUGGGGCGGUCUCCUCCUAAAGAGUAACGGAGGAGCACGAAGGUUGGCUAAUCCUGGUCGGACAUCAGGAGGUUAGUGCAAUGGCAUAAGCCAGCUUGACUGCGAGCGUGACGGCGCGAGCAGGUGCGAAAGCAGGUCAUAGUGAUCCGGUGGUUCUGAAUGGAAGGGCCAUCGCUCAACGGAUAAAAGGUACUCCGGGGAUAACAGGCUGAUACCGCCCAAGAGUUCAUAUCGACGGCGGUGUUUGGCACCUCGAUGUCGGCUCAUCACAUCCUGGGGCUGAAGUAGGUCCCAAGGGUAUGGCUGUUCGCCAUUUAAAGUGGUACGCGAGCUGGGUUUAGAACGUCGUGAGACAGUUCGGUCCCUAUCUGCCGUGGGCGCUGGAGAACUGAGGGGGGCUGCUCCUAGUACGAGAGGACCGGAGUGGACGCAUCACUGGUGUUCGGGUUGUCAUGCCAAUGGCACUGCCCGGUAGCUAAAUGCGGAAGAGAUAAGUGCUGAAAGCAUCUAAGCACGAAACUUGCCCCGAGAUGAGUUCUCCCUGACCCUUUAAGGGUCCUGAAGGAACGUUGAAGACGACGACGUUGAUAGGCCGGGUGUGUAAGCGCAGCGAUGCGUUGAGCUAACCGGUACUAAUGAACCGUGAGGCUUAACCUUACAACGCCGAAGCUGUU
rnacentral:rRNA from 1 species